rnacentral:misc_RNA from 1 species
GGUGGGUUGAUCUCAUGUUGGUUAAAAUCACAUGUUGAUGAUUCACCAUCGAUGUUGUAAAAACACUGCCCACCAAUAGCACAGGCUCAAAAGGAAACCUCACAGCAUUAGAUGGGCCAAAAUUAAGAUCCAAUGGUUAGGAUGAUUCCAUCAUUAGAGCACUCGAUGGCUCCAUAGCAUGGAUGAUUCCAUCAUUAGUGUCUAGUGCUUCUUUAUUGUGUUAUCAGUCCAGCAGUUGAGGAGUGAUGGCUACCCACUUAUUGCCGAAGACGAGAAUGCUAGUUAGGCGCGAAGGUUGAGAUGGGAGUGGAGCAAGG